rnacentral:rRNA from 1 species
GUGAGGAAUAUUGGUCAAUGGACGGAAGUCUGAACCAGCCAUGCCGCGUGCAGGAAUAAGGUCCUAUGGAUUGUAAACUGCUUUUAUUCGGGAAUAAACCUCUUUACGUGUAGGGAGCUGAAGGUACCGAAGGAAUAAGCACCUGCUAACUCCGUGCCAGCAGCCGCGGUAAUACGGAGGGUGCAAGCGUUAUCCGGAAUCAUUGGGUUUAAAGGGUCCGCAGGCGGGCUAUCAAGUCAGAGGUGAAAUCCCACAGCUUAACUGUGGAACUGCCUUUGAAACUGAUGGUCUUGAAUUAAGUGGGCGUUGGCGGAAUAUGACAUGUAGCGGUGAAAUGCAUAGAUAUGUCAUAGAACACCGAUAGCGAAGGCAGCUCACUAAGUCUGAAUUGACGCUCAUGGACGAAAGCGCGGGUAGCAAACAGGAUUAGAUACCCCUGUAGUCC